rnacentral:rRNA from 1 species
UGGGGAAUAUUGCACAAUGGGCGCAAGACUGAUGAAGCCAUGCCGCGUGUAUAAAGAAGGCCUUCGGGUUGUAAAGUACUUUCAGCGGGGAGGAAGGGAGUAAAGUUAAUACAUUUGCUCAUUGACGUUACCCGCAGAAGAAGCACCGGCUAACUCCGUGCCAGCAGCCGCGGUAAUACGGAGGGCGCAAGCGUUAAUCGGAAUUACUGGGCGUAAAGCGCACGCAGGCGGUUUGUUAAGUCAGAUGUGAAAUCCCCGGGCUCAACCUGGGAACUGGGUCUGAUACUGGCAAGCUUGAGUCUCGUAGAGGGUGGUAGAAUUCCAGGUGUAGCGGUGAAAUGCGUACAGAUCUAGAGGAAUACCGGUGGCUAGGGCGGCCCCCUGGCCGAAGACUGACGCUCAGGUGCGAAAGCGUGGUGAGCAAACAGG